UGCAUUUCCCCCCGCUAGGGUGCGUUCAUGAAGCAACAGCUGAGUAGUAAUAGGCUAAUUGUGUAAUAGACUAGUAAUACUAAUGAGUAAUUGUUAGGACACGAACUAUAUAAUGGAGGGAUUACGACUUCUUUUUCCCUCGCACAAUUUAUAGACACUAGUAGCUACGACUUGGAAUUAUAGCGACUAUUAUUACUGUCUAUUAGUUAUUUAUUACUCAGGAGAAGGAGGAAUGCGAGCUAAAAGAACUGGAGAACUCCCUGGAUCCUAAAGACAUUGUUUUCAGAGGGAUUUCAUACAAUAGAUCUUCCUAAAAAGCAUUCACAUAUAUGAUAUAGAGAUCCACAUUCCUCAAAUGGUUUCAGGCGAGUCAAAUGCCUUCAUCUCCUUUCUACAACGUCUGUUUUUGUUCAAGGGAUAUUCCUUCUUGCUUCCUCACUCCCUGGAUGGGAUAUUAUCUCCUUGUAGAGAAGGAUCCUUGAGAGGACAGAUGCCCUACACAUCAACAUCUGCGAUCUGUGUCACUUCUCACCUAUUGACUCAUUGUCUUUAUCUUCAAGAAUACAUCAUUUCCUACAGAUCUCCUACGGGCUUAUCAUUGACUUCUCAAGAAACAAGAAGCUCCAUAAAAACACUCCAACUUAAUUAAAGACUGUGUGUAACUCAGAAACAGAAAGAGUUACUUACUAUUUCCCUCCAUCCUCAACUCCUUCAUUGAAAUCCGUGUGCCCAUUCCUACUUAAGUACACACUGCUUCGUCUCUAAGAAACCUAUUUCAAUCAUCAGAGUCCUUCGGUGUCCUUGAUGUAGAUCACGCAGAAAUAACUUAUCUUCACCACAUUUACAUUAAUUCCAUUUAUUAGGUUGAGUCCAUGAUGUACGGUCUACAAGGUCAAUUAUAAAAGCUGGACUCUAUUCUCUAUAGUUUGGACUGUAAAGUAUAUUAUGUUCUGCUAUUACAUAUAAAUAGUUAUUGUAUCUUCUAUUAAAUCAUACUAAACAUAUAU
rnacentral:lncRNA from 1 species